rnacentral:rRNA from 1 species
GACGAACGCUGGCGGCGUGCUUAACACAUGCAAGUCGAACGGAAAGGCCCUGCUUUUGUGGGGUUCUCGAGUGGCGAACGGGUGAGUAACACGUGAGUAACCUGCCCUUGACUUUGGGAUAACUUUAGGAAACUGGGGCUAUACCGGAUAGGAGCUCCUGCUGCAUGGUGGGGGUUGGGAAGUUUCGGCGGUUGGGGAUGGACUCGCGGCUUAUCAGCUCGUUGGUGGGGUAGUGGCUUACCAAGGCUUUGACGGGUAGCCGGCCUGAGAGGGUGACCGGCCACAUGGGGACUGAGAUACGGACCAGACUCCUACGGGCGGCAGCAGUGGGAAAUAUUGCACAAUGGGCGGAAGCCUGAUGCAGCAACGCCGCGUGCGGGAUGACGGCCUUCGGGUUGUAAACCGCUUUCGCCUGUGACGAAGCGUGCGUGACGGUAAUGGGUAAAGAAGCACCGGCUAACUACGUG